rnacentral:rRNA from 1 species
ACUCCUACGGGAGGCAGCAGUGGGGAAUUGUUCGCAAUGGGCGCAAGCCUGACGACGCAACGCCGCGUGGAGGAUGAAGGUCUUCGGGUUGUAAACCGCUUUUGUCGGGGAAGAAAUCCUCCGGGCUAAUACCCUGGGGGGAUGACGGUACCCGAAGAAUAAGCACCGGCUAACUACGUGCCAGCAGCCGCGGUAAUA